rnacentral:rRNA from 1 species
UACGUAGGUGGCGAGCGUUGUCCGGAUUUACUGGGCGUAAAGCGCGCGCAGGCGGGCUGGUCAGUCCGGGGUGAAAUCUCACGGCUCAACCGUGAGCGGUCCCCGGAUACUGCCAGUCUUGAGGUGUCUAGAGGAGAACGGAAUUCCCGGUGUAGUGGUGGAAUGCGUAGAUAUCGGGAAGAACACCAGUGGCGAAAGCGGCUCUCUGGGGACCACCUGACGCUGAGGCGCGAAAGCGUGGGGAGCGAAC